GAACCGAUCCGAACCGGCAGGGACAGGGAUACGGCAACGCUCAUGGGAAAAAAGAUUGUAAGUCACUUUCUUCAUGGCCGUUGUAACUCUAAAUGGUCACUAAACGAAUCAUGGACUCCCUGUAUCUGUUCCCAUUAGCAAGAUCUGGGUCUCUGUAAGGAGGAGAAGCUCUUGGCCACAAGGAUCCAUUUCUUGGAACUUGUCGUUCCAUUCCCGAUAUCGUCACCAAAGUUCUCGUUUUUCUGACUCCAGAUUCAGCCAGGAAAACGUUAAAAGCAAGCAGAUACAAACAUACAAACACACCAGUGGUGGGUUCCGGGUCCCAGUGAAACCAGGACAGUGCAACGGGGCCGGGCAUCCAGCACAUGAAUGCGCGCAGCACGCACAUGCGUAUUUAGCGCCUGUGACGCUCCGCAAUGCUUCCACGACGCUUCAGAUGCUCGGCGGAGCAUCGCACAGGCGCCAUACGCUCCAUGAACGUGUGUGGAAGCCCUCAAAACCUCAAAUACCGCUAUCCUGACCUUCGGGGUGCUGUGCGGGGUCCUGAGCCCCAACGCAGACCCCGAACCCGGGGCGGUGUAAAGACUCGGAAGAUGGAGGAAGAGAAGAUGUCCACGGGGGAAGCAGCAGAUGACCGAUGACACCUGCCAGAUUGGCAAAAAAGAACCACCCUCUGUCCAUCAAGGCUGGAGAUGGGAGCCCCGAGAUCUAAGGGUUCUUGCUCGCCGUUCUGUCAUCAAAUUCAG